UACAGAGGGUGCGAGCGUUAAUCGGAAUUACUGGGCGUAAAGCGCACGUAGGCGGCUUGGUAUGUCGGGUGUGAAAUCCCCGGGCUCAACCUGGGAACUGCAUCCGAAACUGCCUUGCUCGAGUAUGGGAGAGGGAAGUGGAAUUUCCGGUGUAGCGGUAAAAUGCGUAGAUAUCGGAAGGAACAUCAGUGGCGAAGGCGACUUCCUGGACCAAUACUGACGCUCAGGUGCGAAAGCGUGGGGAGCAAACAGG
rnacentral:rRNA from 1 species